rnacentral:rRNA from 1 species
UACGUAGGAGACGAGCGUUGUCCGGAGUUACUGGGCGUAAAGGGUGCGUAGGCGGGUCUUUAAGUCAGGGGUGAAAUCCUGGAGCUCAACUCCAGAACUGCCUUUGAUACUGAAGAUCUUGAGUCCGGGAGAGGUGAGUGGAACUGCGAGUGUAGAGGUGAAAUUCGUAGAUAUUCGCAAGAACACCAGUGGCGAAGGCGGCUCACUGGCCCGGUACUGACGCUGAGGCACGAAAGCGUGGGGAGCAAACAGG